rnacentral:rRNA from 1 species
AACGAAGGGUGCGAGCGUUAAUCGGGAUUACUGGGCGUAAAGCGUGCGAAGGAGGUCUCGUAAGACAGGUGUGAAAUCCCCAGGCUCAACCUGGGAACUGCGCUUGUGACUGCGAGGCUAGAGUGCGGAAGAGGGAGGUGGAAUUCCACGUGUAGCAGUGAAAUGCGUAGAGAUGUGGAGGAACACCGAUGGCGAAGGCAGCCUCCUGGGCCAGCACUGACUCUCAUGCACGAAAGCGUGGGGAGCAAACACU